ACGGACACCAUGUUAUUAAAGUAAGUUCUAUUAUUUAUUUAUGUUUGCUUUAUACGUGAUACAUCUUAACUAGAUAGACUGUUUUUUUUUUACAAUAUGUAGCCAUUGCAAUGACUUGUAGUAAAAAUUAGUUUGGAGAAGGUUGGUGAAGUUAACGUUUCAGUCAGUCAGUCAGUCAGGCUCAUAAAGAAAAACACAGCGUUUUAAAAACGUCAGCUGUUUAACGUUAUUUCACGUUUGGUAGUUUUAUCUGAGUUGAAAACUGUCAGCUUUGAGAUGACUUUUGAGGCACUUUUUACUCAGUUGUUCUAUGGAAACGUGUCAGGACAAAUAAAACGCUAACCAAAAGUUAUUCUGUCCAGAGUAACGUUAUCCAUGUAAGUAAUUUACCAGAUGAUAUCAAUUGACUACAUUAAUAAUGACAUUGCGUAUUAAACAAACUGUCUGCUUAAUCUUAACAGACCCGCGUCAGUUAUUCGUGACUUCGCUACGCCACGAGCAACACUUGAUUCUAUUAGAAAAAGCUUUUUUUAAAUGUCUCGCGUAACGUCUGGUAUAUUAACUGAAAAAAAUCGCUUUGAAGUGGCCACACCUUAAAGCUGACGUUUUCAGAAGAGCACCUUGUUGUUUUAAGAUCUCAUUUUGUCCAAAAUGACAGAUAGGCCUACUUAUUUCAUUAUUGCUCUGUGUAUGUGUGGUCUUAAUCAUUUGAGGUUAUGUGUUGAUUUCAUCUCUGAAUAUUUCCUUUUAUAGGUCCAUCAUCCUUGCAUGCGCUAUACACUCAAAAGCAUUGAUAAAUGCUGAAUUUAAAAGAAUCACUACUGUCUUAUGUUCCUGCGUGUCACCUGGACCUCCAAUCCAAAAACCUGAUGAAACUCUUCUAUCAGAAAGGAGGACAGCUAGCAAAAAGACUUCAAACAAUUAAUGAUCAAAUGACAGAAGGCAUGGAUGAAGUCAGCAUCAGUGAGGUCAUUUGAAGACACCACUGUUGGGAUUUGUGCUCUCAAACAACAAGCUUCUUGUGAUGAAGAAGAGGAUCUUUGUAUAGUCCUGGAAGCCAUGAAGGUGUUGCAACAUCUUGCCAUGUUGUUUGAGCUGAUGUAUGCCUUAAACCUGAGCUAUCCUGAUCUCCGCUUUUUUUUUGAGGAAAUCCAAAAGAUUUUAAUGGAACUGCAUUGAGCGUAACUUUAACGAACUGUUUCUUUCAGUGAAAGGAUCAGAAAGACUGUGCUGCUCAUUUUUGACUUUGUUUAUCUGUUUUAAGUGUUUUCUCUUAUUAAAACAUUAACAGUUUGCUGCUCAGAGUCGAUUUUGGAAAUGGUUGUUGUAUUUUGUUUUUGUUGAAUCUUUGAUUAACAGUUUAUACAAAUGCUGUAGCUCUGACUUUCUUAAGGAUUGAUAUUUUCCAGUUUGUAAAUCCAUUUUAAAAAUAAUAGUACUUAUUGUUUUGCAUGUCACUUGGAAUGCAGUGUUUGUGCUUUAGCACUUCUAAAUCUAUUGUGAUAGUAACUAUUUUAAACAUUUGGGUCAGUUUCACAGAUGGCUUUUCCUAGUCCCAGACUUUUGCAAUGCCUUAAUUUAAAAACAUAUUGCACUGACAUAUCUUGACAUAUAUCAGUGCCAUUGUUUUGUCUAAAGAUGUACUCCAGUGUUGUUUUUGUAAGGUAGGUUUGUUUGUAAACUUUUUUUGUAAAACAUAUCUUAAUAUAACUAGGUCUUAAUAUAACUAGGGCCUAGUCAUGGCUUAAUCUACAACCUUUCUGGGAAAUUUCCCCUUUAUGUAUGUACUGCAUGUGCUGAUUGUUGUAAUAGUUAUUGACUGUUAAUGAAUUAAUGUGUAGUGAUUUAAAUGAAUUGAUGAUCUGAAAGCAGUGGUUUGCCUCAAUAUCACUAAACAUUUGUACAAAACUCUUUGCUUUUUAUGCCAAUGCAAAUGUAUUUUGUAUUUAUAAAACAAUAAAUAACAUUUGGAUAAUUAUGGGUGAUUAUUCUGGUGCCAGAGACAUAAUGAAAUUGCUUUAGAGUUACAUAAUCCCAUAAUAUAAGCAUUACAAAAGCAUGUUGGAAUUACAGAUGAAAAUGUAGUCCCCUUACAUAAUAAAAUUACUUAAAAAUUACAAAAUAAAUGUGUUAUAGUAAAGAGAAAUAUCACUUUGAUUCAACAUAUUUAUAUUAGACUACUUAAAAUAAUUAAAAUGUUUUGGUCUGACACAUAAAAAUUAAUUGAGGACAAUUAUGUUGGUUUUACACAAUCGGAUUAUGUGGGACCGAUGUACACAUUAAAAUUAAGUAAAUUGAAAGGAUUUUUUUUCAGUGUGUUACAACAAGUUAAAUGAGUCAAAAGAGACCAUCCCCAUGUCUCUACGAUGUUCUGAUGCAGAGAAAAAGCUCUUGCAAAAACGGUUGAUAAGGUAUUCUCAUUGGUUGCUAGAGAGUAAAUUGACAUCCACCAGUGAUUACUCCAAGCCAUGAAAGGAAUAAUCCAUGAUGACUCACGGUUUUAGAUGUGUUAUUGCAGUAGUUUUAGACAAAAAUAGCCAUUUUCUAUCUCAAAACCACUAGGUGGCACUAUGACAAAAUCAUGCAUGCCACCUCAGGUCAUGCCUGCGUUACAUCUAGCUAGUUUCAUGACUAUACACUUUAGUUUAGCAAUGAAAUAGUUGUAUGAUCAUAGGGCUUUCUUGAUAUGAAAGGUUCAGUUCAAUUAUAAGGCCAACUAGUGGUGCAGGCAUACCAAUUUUUUUGUGUGGCCUCAGACUCUGCUCAUACAUCAGCGUAUCAAAUCUGGUGAAAAAAAAACUAUUCCGUUGCAGAGUUAUAACUAUUUAUAAAAAACAGUGUAAAAAACACAAAAUUUGAAGGUAAUUAUUAUUUUUUUUGCAAUUUUCGGCCAUUUCUGAUGAAAAUUAUAAUAUAACGCCAAUAGAGGUUUUUGUUCAGAAGGUAAUGCAUUGUUCUUCAUAUGCCGUUUUCGAGACGAUCAGAAUAACGCUCGCGGAGAUAUUCAGGCGUGUUUUUUUGUAAGUGCUAUUUUGCUGUGCAGGGCUGACCGUAAGUCAAAUUCUGGCAUGUUUGGUAUCGUUGGACUAAGCAACUACCCAGGACUCCAAGGAAACAAGUCCCGAGAAUACGUCGAUCACAGCCAAAGUUAUAGGCAUGUAAAACAAUUUUCUUACCACUAGGUGGCGCUGCGACGAAACUGGGCAUGCCCCCUCAGAUCCUGACUGGCAUAAGAAAUACCAAGUGUCAUGUUAAUAGGCUUAAGUUUGGCGAAGAUACAGCCUCAAAUCCGUUUUUUAGUGCUUUACGUAAAAUUUGUUGACGCAGCUUACGGAAACGGAUUGAUGAAUCAACACGAAUUCCAUAACUUUUGCCUUGAGUGUCUGUAGAUGCUACAUACCGUUUUCGUGGCAAUCGGGUUAAAGUUCUAGGACGAGUUCGCAAAAGUAGGUUUUAUUAAUAAUUCAAAAUGGUGGAAAAAUUUUCAUGACGGAAAAUGAAGAAUCGGAAGAAGAAGA